GAACUCAGGACCUAGCACUUGCCAGGCAGGCACUGUGCCACGAGCUACAGCCCCAGCCCCUGUAAAUUAGCAAUUUGAAGUCUGCGCUCGCUUGGAGUCAGCUGAGCUCGCAUUGCCGCUGUCUCCAAUACCAUCCAAUUAUAAACUCAUCAAUGGAUUAUUAUACUUCCAGAAGCCCAUCAACUGGCACCUAAGCCUUUAGCAUGCCCAGCAUUCCUCCCCUUUGGAAGAUUCAGCAUGAGGCAUCAUCUUGGAAACAGAGAGCCCUUAUCAGAC